rnacentral:rRNA from 1 species
GACGAACGCUGGCGGCGUGCCUAAUACAUGCAAGUCGAGCGAAUCAUUAGGAGCUUGCUCCUAAUGAUUAGCGGCGGACGGGUGAGUAACACGUGGGCAACCUGCCUAUAAGACUGGGAUAACUUCGGGAAACCGGAGCUAAUACCGGAUAAUCCUUUUCCUCUCAUGAGGAAAAGCUGAAAGACGGUUUCGGCUGUCACUUAUAGAUGGGCCCGCGGCGCAUUAGCUAGUUGGUGAGGUAAUGGCUCACCAAGGCAACGAUGCGUAGCCGACCUGAGAGGGUGAUCGGCCACACUGGGACUGAGACACGGCCCAGACUCCUACGGGAGGCAGCAGUAGGGAAUCUUCCGCAAUGGACGAAAGUCUGACGGAGCAACGCCGCGUGAACGAUGAAGGCCUUCGGGUCGUAAAGUUCUGUUGUUAGGGAAGAACAAGUAUCGGAGUAACUGCCGGUACCUUGACGG